CGCGUAGGCGGGAGUAGUAGUCAGAUGUGAAAGCCCGGGGCUCAACCUCGGAAUUGCAUUUGAAACUCUACUUCUUGAGGGUAGGCGGAGAAAACGGAAUUCCACGUGUAGCGGUGAAAUGCGUAGAUAUGUGGAAGAACACCGGUGGCGAAGGCGGUUUUCUAGCUUAUUCCUGACGCUGAUGCGCGAAAGCAAGGGGAGCAAACA
rnacentral:rRNA from 1 species